GGAAGGAAGUCCCGCCCCCAUUCUAGACCCCGCCCUUAAUUCGCUGCGCGGGGCGGGCUUUCGCAGUCCGGGUACCGAGAGCGCGGACGGUGGGUGCAAUGGGUUGCGCGGGUAGGUCCUCCUCUCGGGCUUAGGGAGCGGGAGCAACAGGUGGAGCCCGCCGUACCUCCUCUGAAGGGGCUCUGUUCUACCUCAUGUAUGGGAACGUUUUCAUGCCUCGCCUGUUGCUCACUGAUGGUUGGGGAAGGUCUGGCUGCCUGCAAUAAUCAAGCUAAACUGGGUCCUUUGUUAUAUGCAGAGAAAUCAGCUUCACGGUAGUUAAUCUUUUUUUCGAUGUGGGGACCACCAGACCAUCUGGGAAACCUUUCCCACGCACUGUCUCUAUGUCCGGUGACUUUGGGAAGUCCUAAAGGACAACGGGGGAAUUCACCAAGCUUAGGUCGAGUGAGCCUCCCCACCACCCCGGAGCCAGCAUGGGACACAGCUGAACUCAUUUCUUGGAGGAACUUGCCAGUGUGUCCCCAAGAGCCUGGGUGGCAUAGUCUGUGCCCAACUGGUGCCUGAAGCCUACGGGGACUGCACUUCCUGUGCUCCGGACUUCCUCAUAGGUUGUCUUUCUAGCUGUCUUCUAGUGACAGGAAAUUCAGAGAAACCAACAGGCCUGUUUCUCCAGGAGGGGGAUGUCCCUCAUGCCCUGAAUUCUGCCAGGAAAGUAGACUGGAUACCAAGUGACGUGGAGGAGGGGCUCCUGCAACCUUGCUGUGAAAACCUCUCCCCUCUGUGUCCCAUGGACGUGUCACCCAGUAUCCCAGGGGAAACUGGAGCAGUUUUUGCUGAGCUGUUUGGGGCUGUUGUCCUAAAGCUAAGCAGGGGUGGGGGUGGGGGACAGACAGGUCCUAGGUCUGGUCCCUCAUGUCCUUGUAUUGCACAAGGGACAAAGCCUCAUUUCCCAGGACAUUCAAGCAUAUUCCAAGCAGAGGCCUCUUCCACCCCUGAUUCUGCCCCUUCUUUCAUUUCCUGCCCCUCCUUUUCCCCCCAGCUUCACACUGAGAUUCUCACUUUCCCCUUUUUUCUCCUUAUUCAUUCUUUCAUUCAAAACACAUUUACUGGGACUUCCCUGGCGGUCCAGUGGAUAGGACUUCGCCUUCCAAUGCAGGGAGUGCAGGUUCGAUCCCUGGUCGGGGAGAUAAGAUCCCACAUGCCUCACGGUCAGAAAACCAAAACACAAAACAGAAGAAAUAGUGUAAUAAAUUCAUUAAAGACUUUAAAAAUGGUCCACAUCAAAAAAAAUCUUAAAAAAAAAUAUUUACUGAGCUCCUGACCCAGGGGAAGACGACAGACAAAUCUACACUUUUCAUGAGACUUAUUCCACUAGGGGUAAGGAACAGAAAGAAGUAAGUGUAAUAAUAGCACCUAUUUUGUGAGUGCCUAUGUGCGUCCAAACUAAGGCACAUCAAGGGUAAUUCACUUGCCAAAGGUCACAACUAAGGAUUCCAACCCAGGCACUGGUCAGAGAUCAUGCUGUUAACCAGCAACCCAUACUGCCUCCUUGGUUAUUACAGAUAUGAGAUUAGGGCUCUGUGCCAUUUGUCAGCCAAGGUAAAAUGUUUUGUGCUAUAAAUUUGUAAAUCAUGGCAGGCAGGGGAAGGACGAUCUCAUAUAAAAUAAAGUUCACAAGAAUUGCAGUCGAGUUUUAUGAAAAGGAGGACUAUGGAUUUCUCACAUAUCCAAGAAGGGAUUUUGAAAGGGAAAAUAAUGCUCCCGCGGAAGACUCACCCACGCAGGCCUCACCCUUGCAUUAGCGUGCAAAGGUGAGUUCUACCUGGCACCAAGCCUGGGAAGAGAUAGAUUCACUUCCUCCUUGGACUUUUGGGCUUAGACGUCAUCCAGCAUGGAGGGGAUGGAAAAAGAGAUGCCAUGCAAAUGGAAAUCAGAAGAAAGCUGGAGUAGCAAUUCUCAUAUCAGACAAAAUAGACUUUAAAAUAAAGACUCUUCCAAGAGACAAAGAAGAACACUGCAUAAUGACUGAGGGAUCAGUCCUAGAUGAAGAUAUAACAAUUGUAAAUAUUUAUGCCCCCAACAUAGGGGCAACUCAAUACAUAAGGCAAAUGCUAAGGGCCAUGAAAGGGGAAGCUGACAGUAACACAGUCACAGUAGGGGACGUUAACACCCAGCUGGCGUCCUCGGCAGCCUCACUACCUGCAGAACUUCUGACACUGCUCUUCUUUCCCAGAUAGUGACCUCGCAGGGUAGGCAGGGCCGUAGGAGGUGGGGGAGGGGAGAGAGCAACAGGACUCCACUCACUGUAUCCCUCUCUGCUUCCAUCCAGGGCUGCUGUCACUGUGACCAGAGAAAGAUAGUGGUGUCCUUGGCUCUGCACCUAGUGUUCCCACACUGCCUCCAAGAUGUCAGCUAAAGCCAUAGAGAGCGGGGGAGGAGAUGCCACUGACCCCUUCCGGCCGGAAUCCCCCUCUGAUGAGGAGGAUGAACCUUCCCAGUCAUCCAACCAGGCCUCUGAUGGUUCUCCUGGCAAGCCACCACAGGGGCCACCCCAGGGGCCAGAUGGAUCUGGCUCUGACCCCAGAGACCCACCCAAGGAUGGAGGCAGCAAUUUCUCCCGUAAAGCAGGAACCUCCAUACUGUUCUCCAUAGCGGCUGUAUCAAUUUACAUUCCCACCAACAGUGCAAGAGAGUUCUCUCUCCUCCACACCCUCUCCAGCAUUUGUUGUUUGUAGAUUUUCUGAGGAUGCCCAUUCUGACCGGCGUAAGGAGGUGGACCAAAAAAGAUCUUGCUGUGAUUUAUGUCAAAGAGUGUUCUUCCUAUGUCUCCUCGAAGAGUUUUAUAGUGUCCGGCGGUCUUACAUUUAGGUCUCUAAUCCAUUUUGAGUUUAUUUUUGUGUAUGGUGUUAGGGAGUGUUCUAAUUUCAUUCUUUUACAAGUAGCUGUCCAGUUUUCCCAGCACCACUUAUUGAAGAGACUGUCUUUUCUCCAUUUUAUAUCCUUGCCUCCUUUGUCAUAGAUUAGUUGACCAUAGGUGUGUGGGUUUAUCUCUGGGCUUUCUAUCCUGUUCCAUUGAUCUAUAUUUCUGGUUUUGUGCCAGUACCAUAUUGUCUUGAUUACUGUAGCUUUGUAGUAUAGUCUGAAGUAAGGGAGUCUGAUUCCUCCAGCUCUGUUUUUUUCCCUCAAGACUGCUUUGGCUAUUUGGGGUCUUUUGUGUCUCCUACAAGUUUUCAGGUUUUUUGUUCUAGUUCUGUAAAUAAUGCCACUGGUAUUUUGAUAGGGAUUGCAUUGAAUCUGUAGAUUGCUUUGGGUAGUAUAGUCAUUUUCACCAUAUUGAUUCUUCCAAUCCAAGAACAUGGUAUAUCUCUCCAUCUGUUUGUGUCAUCUUUGAUUUCUUUCAUCAGUGUCUUAUAGUUUUGUGAGUACAGGUCUUUUGUCUCCCUAGGUAGGUUUAUUCCUAGGUAUUUUACUCUUUUUGUUGCAAUGGUGAAUGGGAUUGUUUCCUUAAUUUCUCUUUCUGAUCUUUCAUUGUUAGUGUAUAGGAAUGCAAGAGAUUUCUGUGCAUUAAUUUUGUAUCCUGCAACUUUACCAAAUUCAUUGAUUAGCUCUAGUAGUUUUCUGGUGGCAUCAUUAGGAUUCUCUAUGUAUAGUGUCAUGUCAUCUAAAAACAAUAAGUUUUAUUUCUUCUUUUCCAAUUUGGAUUCCUUUUAUUUUUCUUCUCUGACUGCUGUGGCUAGGACUUCCAAAACUGUGUUGAAUAAUAGUGGUGAGAG